UUAUAAAAAAAUCUAUUUAAUUAUGUACUAUACAAGUUAAGAUUAGCUUAUUAAUAUUCUUUGUGUAAUAUUAUAUUUUUUUUUUCUUAUUUGCUAAGGAAUGUAGAACAUCCAGCAUCUUAUGAUUGGAAUUAUAGACACUGUGGACGACGGUAUUGAUUGGGAUAUUACCCUGGACAACUCUCAGAUUGACUGGGAUAUCGGCACUGUUGAGGAGGCGGACGAUAGUAGUAAUGGUUUAGCAUCUUAUGAAAUUAUCAAUGCCAGUGAUAUUAAACAUAGUUAUUCCCAAAAUGAUGCUGAAAUGACUGAUCAGGCCUCAUUAAAGAACUAUCUGCACCUGUUAAAGAACUAUCUGCACCUGCGUAUAAUGCUACGAAUGAGACUCAGGAGAGAAGCCAGUUUCUGGAGACAGAGUACAGUAGUAAGGUCCUUGAUGAUGUAUUUGAGAUUAAGGCGUUUCUUCAUCAAAGAUUGACCGAGUUGAGCAAUGGAGAUACUUUAUCUUUGCAACAUCAAGUUGAAGCAGUUGCUCCAUUUGUUUUGCAGCAAUACACUUGUGAUGCAAUUCAUACAAUGCUAUCUGAUAUAUCCUUGGCAAUAUCGUUACUGACGAAUAGGAAAACACGAGACCUAAUCAUGAUACUCAACUCCAAGAGAUUUCUUGAUCGACUCGUGAGUACCCUGGCUGGAAGAGAAGAAGAACCAUCAAGUAAAGAUGAAAGAGGCAUUGAAGGACUUGGAAGUGAGACGCAUGGAGCUCCAGAAUUCCUUAUCAACUAUUUAGACAACUCCGACUGCAUAACAAAAACUAGUGAACACUUUAGAGGUAACGGGGAUAUUGCAAAUUUGGCGAAAAAGAGGUUGAUGUGGACUCUUUAGUUCAGCAAUUUGAUGUUUGAUUCAUCACACAUCCAGGGUCGAGAAGAAGACUUCCGUGCCUUUCUUUCGAUUUUUAAUUUGUGUUGUCUAGUCUCUAGCCAUCUUCCGCUUGUCCAAGUACCAAAACGCUACACGAUGUAGCGUUUACCUGUACUUUUUCUGUUAUAGUAUAUAGCUUGCUCCUACCAGGUUAUAUACACAAUACUCAUUUUCACAGCUUGGGAAUAUAAUUUGCACUUGUUUACAUUGACUCCCUGUACAGACAAGUGACUUGUAAUGAGAAUUUGAAGUUGGAGGUUACAAAAAUGCAGUCAGCCACAAGAACUCAUUAACCCUUGGAAAUAUUGUCACCUUAUCAUGAAAUGCAAUUGUUUUAAACAAUUUCAUCCUCUACAAGUUGUGAGCCGAACGAACUCGUAAAUGACAAUUAUUUCCAGAACUCGAG